GUGUCAGCAGCCGCGGUAAUACGAAGGGGGCUAGCGUUGUUCGGAAUUACUGGGCGUAAAGCGCACGUAGGCGGGUCUGUAAGUAGGGGGUGAAAUCCCCGGGCUCAACCCGGGAACUGCCUUCUAGACUGCAGAUCUUGAGAUCAGGAGAGGCGAGCGGAAUUCCGAGUGUAGAGGUGAAAUUCGUAGAUAUUCGGAGGAACACCAGUGGCGAAGGCGGCUCGCUGGACUGAUACUGACGCUGAGGUGCGAAAGCGUGGGGAGCAAACAGGAUUAGAAACCCUCGUAGUCC
rnacentral:rRNA from 1 species